GAGUGUGUGUGUGGUGUGUGUCGUGUGUGCGUGCGUAGUGCAUCAGUCUUGUGUAUUGUCUUUGUGACUUUCAUGUUCCCCUGAAUUUGUCUCUUUUUUUCUGCUCUUAAGUACUCAAAAUGAAAGGAAGUCCAUUCUACAACUGGAGCUACCACGGAGAGAGCUGCCAUGACAUCACCUCUUCAGGCUGAAAUCCCUCUCGCCUCACAAAGACGUAACACAGCUUUCCUCCUCACUUUUCUUUCUCUCCGUCUCCCCUAGUUCCUCCGGUUCAGAUGCCAUCAUUAACCUUGAAGCGCCACCUUCUUUUCCUGACGCCGCUAAAGCAACGAUCUGCAUGACAUACCGGUAUUUCC